GCUGACACAUUCCAGCCAAUCAGCAGCAGACCCUCUCUCCCCGACCCUCCCACCUCCUGGACAGCUCACUAAGAAUGCAGCUUCAAAAUGGAUGCUGUCCAGGAGGUGGGAGGGUCUGGGAGGGAGGGUCUGCUGCUGAUUGGCUGGAAUGUGUCAG
rnacentral:miRNA from 1 species